UUCUGGUCAGCUCAGUUGGUAGAGCGCUCUGCUAGUCUUGGAGAGGUUCUGGGAUCGUAUCCCGAACCAGGCA
rnacentral:tRNA from 1 species